rnacentral:lncRNA from 1 species
CGAGAGUCUCUUCUUGGAGCAUCCUUUUCAUCUUGCCUCCUCUUGCCACCUUUUUCGGGCCUAUCCUUGGUUGACUCUCGCUGAGAUGCCAUAACUUCCUCAGCAUUGGUAUACUAUUUUGCUUGGGCUAACAUCUCUGCAAAGUUUGUGGGGUAGCGCUUCUCCAAAGAAAAUAGAAAAUGGGACGACCUCAAACUACCCUUUAAAGCCGACAUAGUGACCAACUGAUCCAAGUUGCAUACUUCCAACAUCGCCGCAUUGAAGUGGUUAUCAAAAUUUCUGAGGGACUCUCCUUCUCUCUAUUUAAUGUC